rfam:Basidiobolus meristosporus CBS 931.73 K493scaffold_1347, whole genome shotgun sequence.
GCCUGUAUAGCACAGUGGUAGUGCGUCAGUCUUGUAAACUGAAGGUCGGUGGUUCAAUCCCGCCUGCAGGCA